rnacentral:rRNA from 1 species
CUACGGGCGGCUGCAGUGGGGAAUCUUGCGCAAUGGACGAAAGUCUGACGCAGCGACGCCGCGUGGGUGAUGAAGGCCUUCGGGUCGUAAAGCCCUGUUCUGGGGGAAGAAACCACUUCGGUGCUGACGGUACCCCAGAAGAAAGCACAGGCUAACUCCGUGCCAGCAGCCGCGGUAAUACGGAGUGUGCUAGCGUUGUUCGGAUUUACUGGGCGUAAAGCGCAUGUAGGUGGCUUGACAAGUCGGAUGUGAAAUCCCGUGGCUCAACCUCGGAACUGCAUUCGAAACUGUCUUGCUUGAGUCCGGGAGGGGGUGGCGGAAUUCCGUGUGUAGAGGUGAAAUUCGUAGAUAUACGGAGGAACACCCGUGGCGAAGGCGGCAACCUGGACCGGUACUGACACUGAGAUGCGAAAGCGUGGGGAGCAAACAGGAUUAGAUACCCGGGUAGUC